rnacentral:rRNA from 5 species
GUUGGGUAGGGGAGCGUUCUGUAAGCCUGUGAAGGUGUGUCGUGAGGCAUGCUGGAGGUAUCAGAAGUGCGAAUGCUGACAUAAGUAACGAUAAAGCGGGUGAAAAGCCCGCUCGCCGGAAGACCAAGGGUUCCUGUCCAACGUUAAUCGGGGCAGGGUGAGUCGACCCCUAAGGCGAGGCCGAAAGGCGUAGUCGAUGGGAAACGGGUUAAUAUUCCCGUACUUGGUGUUACUGCGAAGGGGGGACGGAGAAGGCUAUGUUGGCCGGGCGACGGUUGUCCCGGUUUAAGCGUGUAGGUGUGUGUUCCAGGUAAAUCCGGUUCACUUUAACACUGAGGCGUGAUGACGAGGCACUACGGUGCUGAAGCAACAAAUGCCCUGCUUCCAGGAAAAGCCUCUAAGCAUCAGGUAACAUCAAAUCGUACCCCAAACCGACACAGGUGGUCAGGUAGAGAAUACCAAGGCGCUUGAGAGAACUCGGGUGAAGGAACUAGGCAAAAUGGUGCCGUAACUUCGGGAGAAGGCACGCUGACACGUAGGUGAAGUGAUUUACUCAUGGAGCUGAAGUCAGUCGAAGAUACCAGCUGGCUGCAACUGUUUAUUAAAAACACAGCACUGUGCAAACACGAAAGUGGACGUAUACGGUGUGACGCCUGCCCGGUGCCGGAAGGUUAAUUGAUGGGGUCAGCGCAAGCGAAGCUCCUGAUCGAAGCCCCGGUAAACGGCGGCCGUAACUAUAACGGUCCUAAGGUAGCGAAAUUCCUUGUCGGGUAAGUUCCGACCUGCACGAAUGGCGUAAUGAUGGCCAGGCUGUCUCCACCCGAGACUCAGUGAAAUUGAACUCGCUGUGAAGAUGCAGUGUACCCGCGGCAAGACGGAAAGACCCCGUGAACCUUUACUAUAGCUUGACACUGAACAUUGAGCCUUGAUGUGUAGGAUAGGUGGGAGGCUUUGAAGUGUGGACGCCAGUCUGCAUGGAGCCGACCUUGAAAUACCACCCUUUAAUGUUUGAUGUUCUAACGUGGACCCGUGAUCCGGGUUGCGGACAGUGUCUGGUGGGUAGUUUGACUGGGGCGGUCUCCUCCUAAAGAGUAACGGAGGAGCACGAAGGUUGGCUAAUCCUGGUCGGACAUCAGGAGGUUAGUGCAAUGGCAUAAGCCAGCUUGACUGCGAGCGUGACGGCGCGAGCAGGUGCGAAAGCAGGUCAUAGUGAUCCGGUGGUUCUGAAUGGAAGGGCCAUCGCUCAACGGAUAAAAGGUACUCCGGGGAUAACAGGCUGAUACCGCCCAAGAGUUCAUAUCGACGGCGGUGUUUGGCACCUCGAUGUCGGCUCAUCACAUCCUGGGGCUGAAGUAGGUCCCAAGGGUAUGGCUGUUCGCCAUUUAAAGUGGUACGCGAGCUGGGUUUAGAACGUCGUGAGACAGUUCGGUCCCUAUCUGCCGUGGGCGCUGGAGAACUGAGGGGGGCUGCUCCUAGUACGAGAGGACCGGAGUGGACGCAUCACUGGUGUUCGGGUUGUCAUGCCAAUGGCACUGCCCGGUAGCUAAAUGCGGAAGAGAUAAGUGCUGAAAGCAUCUAAGCACGAAACUUGCCCCGAGAUGAGUUCUCCCUGAGACUUAAAGUCUCCUGAAGGAACGUUGAAGACGACGACGUUGAUAGGCCGGGUGUGUAAGCGCAGCGAUGCGUUGAGCUAACCGGUACUAAUGAACCGUGAGGCUUAACCUUACAACGCCGAAG